rnacentral:rRNA from 1 species
GACGAACGCUGGCGGCGUGCUUAACACAUGCAAGUCGAACGAUGAUCAGGAGCUUGCUCCUGUGAUUAGUGGCGAACGGGUGAGUAACACGUGAGUAACCUGCCCCUGACUCUGGGAUAAGCGUUGGAAACGACGUCUAAUACUGGAUACGACUGCCGGCCGCAUGGUCUGGUGGUGGAAAGAUUUUUUGGUUGGGGAUGGACUCGCGGCCUAUCAGCUUGUUGGUGAGGUAAUGGCUCACCGAGGCGACGACGGGUAGCCGGCCUGAGAGGGUGACCGGCCACACUGGGACUGAGACACGGCCCAGACUCCUACGGGAGGCAGCAGUGGGGAAUAUUGCACAAUGGGCGAAAGCCUGAUGCAGCAACGCCGCGUGAGGGAUGACGGCCUUCGGGUUGUAAACCUCUUUUAGUAGGGAAGAAGCGAAAGUGACGGUACCUGCAGAAAAAGCACCGGCUAACUACGUGCCAGCCGCCGCUGUAA